GAAAUGCGAUAAGUAAUGUGAAUUGCAGAAUUCAGUGAAUCAUCGAAUCUUUGAACGCACAUUGCGCUCGCCAGUAUUCUGGCGAGCAUGCCUGUUCGAGCGUCAUUUCAACCAUCAAGCUCUGCUUGCGUUGGGGAUCCGCGUCUGCCCGCGGUCCCUCAAAAACAGUGGCGGGCUCGCUAGUCACACCGAGCGUAGUAACUCUACAUCGCUAUGGUCGUGCGGCGGGUUCUUGCCGUAAAACCCCCAAUUUCUAAGGUUGACCUCGGAUCAGGUAGGAAUACCCGCUGAACUUAAGC
rnacentral:misc_RNA from 1 species